CGCGCAGGCGGGUUGGCAAGUCAGAGGUGAAAUCCUAUAGCUUAACUGUAGAACUGCCUUUGAGACUGCUAAUCUUGAGUACGGAAGAGAGAGAUGGAAUUCCAGGUGUAGUGGUGAAAUACGUAGAUAUCUGGAAGAACAUCAGUGGCGAAGGCGAUCUCUUGGUCCUUUACUGACGCUAAGGCGCGGAAGCGUGGGGAGCAAACA
rnacentral:rRNA from 1 species